UGGGGAUCGGGGAGGUCCGGAUCCAGCCUCCCGUCAGGCGUGUCCGCCUCUCGGGGAGCCCUGGCUGCUCCCUCUGGAGAACGGGGAACCUAUGGGGGCCGCAGGUGUUCCGCGCUUCCCAGUCUCCAGCCGAAGGCUCUUUGAUUGGAGAAAGGAAAACAAAUGGGGUUAUCAAGUGCUGCAAAGGAAAUGAAUGGAGAAGCUUAUGCAGCUCUACAGUCGCAGACCCGAGAUGAUGCAGAGCCUAGAGGGUUAAAGCAACAGGAUGAAGUCAGCACAAAGCAGCCCACAAGGACUGGCAAAUAAAUAAAUCAUCCUAACUACACUGUUAUUAUGGCUUGACUGACGUUCAUUGUCUCUUUCUUUUUUACCUGAAUGUCUGUUACAUUUUUCUCCUUGCUCAAGAGAAGCAAUCAAAAGGGACUGUGAGCAGUAAAUGGCUCCUGCCCAUUUUGAAUGUUGCUAAAAAUACUACCUUACCUCUCCAUAUCUAGAGGUCAAUUGAAAAAUCAAAAUAAUGAGGUAAGCAAUCCUGCAGACUGUUCUGUUGAGGAGAUUUCUUGAAUUUCUUCCCAGAAGGAGAAUAUAAAACUAUCUGAACAUACAUAAAUUCUCUUGCAUUCUGUUUCCAGUUCAGCACCCUCCUCUGCACUUAUGGCUGUAGCUCAGUGAGGCUUCCUUCCCCAGGCACUUGGAAAUUACGGUUCUCAAUACAGCUUUAUAAGACUGGCAGAUGUGUUCUGCACAGUUCUGUCAUAUCUCCUGGCUCUUGGGCAGAUAAAAUUAGCUUUGGUACAGCAAAGAAGGAGAUGAUGUGUUUAAAGCACUGCAGUUUGGGUACCUGUCUGUACCUGCUUCCGCUUGUCUUGAGGGAAGGUGGGUAGGUUGUGCUUCAGUGCUUUUUCUAUGAAAUGGGAAUAAUGUCCUAUUUUCUUCACAGGAAGGAAGCAAAGGUGGGAGGGGUACAUAUCAUCAUUAUCUUUUAUGAUAGAAUUCUCUGAGUGGAUACAUUUUUCAAGGCACACAAUAGUCAUUUAAUGUUCCUCUUCAUUGAUACACAGGGAUAGCAUAAAAACAUGCAACACAUUGACUGAAAAGAAGGAGAAAUUUCUUAUAUCUCCACAGAAUCUUCUCCCUGAGGAUUUAAAAAAUUUCCAAAUUAAUCCUCAGUAUCCAGCAUGCUUCAUGAUUUUGUAAUUUUUAUUUUCUUUUCAUGAAAAAGAUCUUCUCCUUCUGUUUCUAAAGAUUAGGACAUAUAAUUGACUAACAGAAAACAUUCCCUAUAAUGUAGGUCACCAACAGU
rnacentral:lncRNA from 1 species